CUCACUUACUCAGUCGAGUCGAGAUAGCUCAAGAUAGAGACGAGUAGCGUUCACGACGGCGAAGCUAAAGACAUCUUUUCUCGUAUUUCAGGGUCAAGGUUAAGACGCUUUCAUCUUAUAAAAAAAUGGAUUCUGAAGCAAGGUCUGCUGUCGGCCCU